CACGGGGUAAAGCAGUUUGGUAGCUCGCAAGGCUCAUAACCUUGAGGUCACGGGUUCAAAUCAUGUCUCCGCAA
rnacentral:tRNA from 1 species